UUAUUUUGGAAUCAUGAGUUCAUAACCUGUAGACCAAGAGUCCAAGAGUGUUUCAAUUGAAGAGCCUGGGGGAUCAAGACACCAGGCAGUUGAUGCAGACACUGUCUAAAGAGUGCCCAGUGGCUCUCAGAGGGACCUGCUGGAUGCUCACGUGGGACAUCAGCAAUCACUUUCUCAGAGUCACCAGUGAGCUGUGCUAGUUCCUGAAGGGUCCAGGAUAGGGCCAAGGCAACUGCUCUGUGUCAUGGAGAGUGAUUGUUCCAGAAAUCAUAGAGGUGGUCUCUAUGCUUGUAAAAUCUUUAUUUGCAGUGAGGAGCCUGUUCUGAGAGGGCUGAUUCUUCAGUGAAAGGACCUCUGUCCACGAAUGUUCAUACAUGGAGCAGGGCAUUCAUUUCCUCAAGCAGGAUUAGGGCUUGAACCAUCAGCAUCUCACUCUUGUAAGGUUGAUAUGUCAUUUAUCUUCCCUUUCUUAUCGUCUGCCAGGCUUUGAGCUAUGAAAUGCUCUGUCUCAUCAAUAUGCAAAUAACCUGAGAUCCACUGAGGUAAAUAUGGAUGUCUGUGUCCUGAGAGCAUCACCCAACAACCACAUCCCUCCUCUAGAGAAUCCCCUGAGAGCUCAGCUCCUCACCAUGGACUGGACCUGGAGGAUCCUCUUCUUGGUGGCAGCAGCCACAGGUGCCCACUCCGAGAUGCAGCUGGUGCAGUCUGAGGCUGAGGUGAAGAAGCCUGGGGCCUCAGUGAAGGUUUCUUGCAAGGUUUCCGGAUACACUUUCACCUACCGCUACUUGCACUGGGUGCGACAGACCCCUGGACAAGGGCUUGAGUGGAUGGGAUGGAUCACACCUUACAAUGGUAACACCAACUAUGCACAGAAGUUCCAGGACAGAGUCACCAUUACCAGGGACAGGUCUAUGAGCACAGCCUACAUGGAGCUGAGCAGCCUGAGAUCUGAGGACACCGCUGUGUAUUACUGUGCAAGAUACACAGUGUGAAAACCCACAUCCUGAGACCGUCAGAAACCCCAAGGAGGAGGCAGCUGCACUGAAUGAGGAGAUUACAGGGCUUACAAUGUUUAAAGUUGUUUAUAAAAUAGGCUAAGCAAUUGAGGAAUAUGAGUAAUAGA